ACGGGAGGCAGCAGUGGGGAAUAUUGGACAAUGGGGGAAACCCUGAUCCAGCGACGCCGCGUGAGUGAAGAAGUAUUUCGGUAUGUAAAGCUCUAUCAGCAGGGAAGAUAAUGACGGUACCUGACUAAGAAGCCCCGGCUAACUACGUGCCAGCAGCCGCGGUAAUACGUAGGUGGCAAGCGUUGUCCGGAUUUACUGGGUGUAAAGGGUGCGCAGGCGGGACUGCAAGUUGGAUGUGAAAUACCGAGGCUUAACCUCGGAGCUGCAUCCAAAACUGUAGUUCUUGAGUGAAGUAGAGGUAAGCGGAAUUCCGAGUGUAGCGGUGAAAUGCGUAGAUAUUCGGAGGAACACCAGUGGCGAAGGCGGCUUACUGGGCUUUAACUGACGCUGAGGCACGAAAGCAUGGGUAGCAAACAGGAUUAGAUACCCUGGUA
rnacentral:rRNA from 1 species